rnacentral:tRNA from 1 species
GCGAGCAUAGUACAAAGGCUAGUAUGCGAGCCUUCCAAGCUUGAGAUGAGGGUUCGAUUCCCUCUGCUCGCACCA